UGUAAAGGAUUAUAAAAGGUUUAUAGGAAUCUCACCUCGUAGCCAAACUGAUUAAGAUUGUAUAGUAUUAUCUAUAAGGUUUCAUUUAAAAAUUGGGGUUAAGAUUGAUAGUAGACUAAUGCAAGGGUGAAAUUUGGCUUUCUCUCCCUUGAACAAGAUUUUCAUGUAAUAGUAAAGGAUAAUGAAUGAUUUUUGUUUGCCUUGUGAAUGACCUACUGAAAAAGAAGAUAACAAGAAACAAAUUGUUUGGAAAGUUAAGUCUUCCAUCUUAAUGAGUAAAGGUUUUUGCCUUGUUUUAACAUAUUUGAGUCAUAUUUUGACUAAAUGAAUAACUUAAGGUAAUCUGGAGUUAUAUUUAAUAAUAUGAAGUGUUUUAAAUCUGUAACAUACUUAACAGGCUUCCCCAAAUCAAACUUCAGCUUCAAAAGUUUUUUUUUUCUGACCCCUAACUUUUGAAUGCUACAGAGGGCCCCUGGAGCAUCCAAAAGAGAGGUGAACAGGGCUAUUUCACACGCUUAGUUACAUGGGAUUGCCAAAAUAAAAAUAAGGUUUAAUCUUCCUCCAGCUAUAUUUUAGUGAAUAAUGUUAGUAUGUUUCAAAAUUGUAUGGCAUUUAUAAAAUUCUGAUAUCCAAGUAUAUGCUACCAAUCAUAAUAAAGCUUGUAAUGUUAAGUUAUUGUAAACCAGAUAUAACCAAAUUUCUUUGUCAAUCAUGUUUUUGACUGUAACUCCUCUGGACAUUUUGUAACUCACAGAAAAUUGCUGUCUUGCUUUAAUCCUUUACAAAAGAUGGUUUAUAAUCAGCUGGAGGACUUCGGCAGGUACUCUCAAAUGCAAGUUUCUGAUAACUUUGGAUAUUGUGAUAACGGAAUAGAGGAAAAAUACACAGGACUCAUGAAGAGCUGCAAUGUUCAUGAAUAUCAAGCAGAGAAAAAAAAAGCAACCCUCUACUGUGAAUAUACAUAGAAAAGUGUCCUCACUGUGACACAUCAUGGGUGGACCAGGAAAUCAUCAUCUUUAAUGUGAACAUUGGAGUCUAUAGAUAUAUUAUUUCUUUCAGCCCUCAAGAAUCAGCUCCAGUGUCAUUUUCAUUCUGAACGCUUCCUAUUCCUCCCCAGGUUGUAUUGGUUCCUCUUAAAUUUGUGCUCUCACAUCACAUAAUAUUUCUUGUACUGCAUUUGUAUUAGCCAAUAUCAAGUUAGGAAAAUAUACACAAUGCUACUUCUUUCAAAUGGGAAAUUGAAUACCAGGAACUAGUUUUAAUGUGCUGAAAGAACUGGAUGAACAAUAGAAGGUUAAGCUCUCUCACCAGUUGGUGGCUGAUUCAAAUCUAAUGAUUAACCAAUCAGCUGAAUGGGAGAUCAAGUAAAAAUGUAUCAUAAGCCAAGAAAGAUUUACCUCAAAAAAGAUUGCCCAAAGGGACUAAACUAAGUUAAGGCAAAAAUACCAAUGGCUUCACUUUACAAAAUGGAAACUCUACCCUUAGCACAGUAGUCAUUAGCAUACUUGAGUCUUCCUCCUCUGAGUGUUCCAUCUCAGAGAUAUUAACAUAUUUAGACAGAAUAUCCAACAUAAUUAACAUAGAAUAGAGUGGUGUGAGUUAUUAAGAAAAAUAUUCUAAUGUGUAUGAGCUUUAGAAUUAGAAAGGUUGGUUAGUUUGCUCUAUUCUUGAAACUCAAAUGAGGAAAUACAAUUUGUGUCUCAGAAUUGCUGGUAAGAUUGGAGAACAUAAAUUCAAAAAGAAUAGUAUAUAGUGUGUGCUCAGUCACUGAAAGCUACUCUUUAUAUUACUAUUUUUCAUUAAAACUCUCUGUUUCCUUUUGCUCUGAUUCUGUCUUUAGAAAUUCACAUUUAGGAUGAUUCAUUUGCUUUCUGGAUAUGUUGAUUCUGAUCAACUAUAGCCAUACAUGUAAUUAUUUUCACACACAGAUUAUCUUUUGAUUCCUUCUUAUUUGGAUCACCUUCAAGCUAUAACCAAUAUUUCUGAGUGAACUGAGAACCUAUCCUACUUUUUGGUUGGCCCUGCUUGAUGACCAAAUCUAGGGUAUGAUGAAUUCACCUAAUUAACCUACCUUACACACAAAUGGUGACAAAUCUGUCUGCUUCUUUUACUUUGCAGGCAUCAUCACCUCAUUUAUUCUUAAUUUGACAAGUUGCUCCCUUUUUUAAAAAUUCAAAUUUCAUCAGUAUCCAAGAUUUCUUUCACAUGACAGUGAUAUUUUUUGUUCUCAGAGCAUGCCCAUAGGGUGAGUAACAUUGGCUUUGAUUAAUAGAAAUAGAGACAGAAAUUUUAUUUUUGAAG